CUCUUGUCUCAUGCAGGAAGGGAGAACUUAGGUAGCCACAUGAGUUGUCUUCAACCCUCUGCUUGCCGACUUUGCCAGUGAUAUUCGAUUGCUUUGUGACGUUUUCUAUUAGUAAAGUUUAUCAGGAGGUACCUGCCUAAGGCACAAGAUCUACUGGUGCAAUCGUGGAACCAAUGUUAUGAGAGUAACCAACCAUUUUCUGAUUGGAUUUAAAGUCCUCUUCAUGAGAUGGAACCCACACCUGACACUGACACAACAGGAAUGAUGCACGUGUGAAUUCACAAUGACUGUGGCAACAUGGACAAGACCCGGACAAGUUCAAGCCAGAUGGGGUCCUAUCACUGAGGGAGGGAGUUGGACACAUAGCCCCACUGCUAAGAAGCUGUCUACAAUUGAUACCUUCUGGAAAUGGGAAAAUCAGUUUCAUCCAAUGGAGCGUCAUUCAGUACA